rnacentral:rRNA from 1 species
UGAAGCUGGAAUUGCUAGUAAUGGCAGGUCAGCAUACUGCCGUGAAUACGUUCCCGGGCCUUGUACACACCGCCCGUCACACCAUGAGAGUUGGGAAUACCCGAAGCCUGUGAGCUAACUUAUAGAGGCAGCAGUCGAAGGUAGAAUCAAUGAUUGGGGUGAAGUCGUAACAAGGUAUC